rnacentral:rRNA from 1 species
AUGAGAGGAAUUCAACAUAGAAUUGACUUAAUUCCGGGAGCAAGUCUUCCUAAUCUUCCACACUAUCGAAUGAGCCCAAAGGAGCAUGAUAUGUUGAAGGAGAAAGUGGAGGAAUUGUUGCAAAAGGGGCACAUUCGAGAAAGUAUUAGCCCAUGUGUUGUACCAGCCCUACUCGCGCCAAAGAAAGAUGGAUCUUGGCGCAUGUGUACGGACAGUAGAGCCGUUAACAAGAUCACCGUAAGGUAUAGAUUCCCUAUUCCCCGUCUGGAUGAUAUGUUGGAUCAGCUUAGUGGAGCAAGAGUGCUCACAAAGCUAGAUUUAAGAAGUGGAUAUCAUCAAAUCCGUAUAAGACCCGGGGAUGAAUGGAAGACCGCCUUCAAGACAAAGGAAGGGUUGUUUGAAUGGCUAGUCAUGCCAUUUGGACUCUCAAAUGCACCAAGUACCUUUAUGCACUUAAUGAAUCAAGUCCUUAGACCCUUCUUAUCCCACUUUGUUGUGGUCUAUUUCGAUGACAUCUUGAUCUAUAGCAAGGAUGAGGAUGAACACUUUGAUCACAUUCAGAAGGUGCUAGAAGUACUAAGGAAAAAUGAGCUCUACGUCAACUUGAAGAAAUGUGUUUUCCUGCAAACACAACUUCUUUUCCUAGGAUUCGUCAUAACAUGUGACGGCAUUCGUGUUGAUGAUUCUAAGGUUGAAGCAAUCCGAGAAUGGCCAACUCCUAAGACCAUUUCUGAGGUAAGAAGCUUUCAUGGCCUUGCAACUUUCUAUAGGCGAUUUGUUAAGAAUUUCAGCACUAUCAUGGCACCAAUUACGUGUUUGAAGAAAGGAAAGUUCCAAUGGGCAGAAGCAGCUGAAGCUAGCUUCAAUGAGAUUAAACAAAAGCUAUCACAAGCUCCUGUCUUGGUACUACCUGAUUUCAACAAGACUUUUGAGUUGGAGUGUGAUGCAAGUGGAGUAGGCAUUGGAGCUGUCCUAUCUCAAGAAAGGAAGCCCAUUGCUUUCUUUAGUGAGAAGUUAAGUGAAGCUAGACAGAAAUGGAGUACCUAUCAGCAAGAAUUAUACGCCGUUUUCAGAGCGUUGAAAACUUGGAAAGUCUAUUUGCUGCCUAAAGAGUUCAUUGUUUAUAGCGACCAUCAAUCCUUGAAGCAUUUUAGAAAUCAAAGGCAUGUUGACCGCAUGCUAGCAAGAUGGGCAGCAUAUCUGGAGAGAUUUAACUAUCUCAUCAUGCAUAAAUCUGGAAUAACUAACAGAGUGGCCGAUGCUUUGAGUCGUCGUGCAUGCCUCUUGACUUCUUUUGGAGCUGAACUUCCGGGCAUGGAUCAAAUAAAGGAGUUGUAUGAGGGUGACGAAGACUUUGGCCAUGUUUGGGUAAAGCACGCAAGGGGCCAACCAUUAGGUGAUGACUAUUUGAUGCAAGAUGGAUAUCUCUUCAAAAAUGAUCGUUUGUGCAUUCCAAGAAGUUCUCUACGUGACAAGCUGGUUAGAGAGCUCCAUUCAAGUGAUCUUAGUGGCCAUGUUGGACGGGACAAGACUAUUGCUAACCUGGAAGCUCGCUACUUUUGGCCACAACUAAAGAGAGAUGCUGGAAAGUUCGUUCAACGGUGCCCCGUAUGUCAGACCUGCAAAGGCCAAGUCCAGAACACAGGGUUAUACAUGCCUUUGCCUGUUCCUGUCGCUCCAUGGGAGGACAUUUCUAUGGACUUCGUCUUGGGCUUGCCAAGAACAAGACGAGGAAGUGAUGUUGUAUUUGUGGUCGUGGAUAGAUUCUCUAAGAUGGCUCAUUUCAUCCCAUGCCGCAAAACAACGGAUGCUCAUCAUGUGGCAAACCUAUUCUUUCGAGAAGUGGUCAGACUUCAUGGAGUACCAAGGUCCAUCGUCUCAGACCGUGAUAGCAAGUUUCUUGCUGCAUUUUGGCUCACUUUGUGGAAGCAAUUCAACACUGAAUUGAAAUUUUCUAGCACUGCUCAUCCACAAACAGAUGGACAAACGGAAGUGGUGAACAAGUUUUUGGGUAAUCUGAUCCGUUGCAUUUGUGGAGAAAGAAAGGGACAAUGGGAUUUGGCUUUAUCUCUUGCAGAAUUCUCCUACAAUAACUCCAAGCAUAGAUCCACAGGAAGGAGCCCUUUUUCCAUUGUCUACACUAAAGUUCCAUCACAUGUGGUGGACCUGGUGAAGCUACCACCAAGGGGAAACUCAAAAUCAGCAUUGUCCUUUGCUGAUAAUUACACCAAGUUAUUUGAAGAGAUUCGUGGUGCUUUGGAAGCACAAAAUCAGAAAUAUAAAUAA